CGAUAUUCUGAAAAAUUCUAACCCUAGUUCGAUCAAAGAUAAUAAUAAGGCAAAGGAUGUCCAUAUGGAUAUUACUUGUUGUUUUUAUGGUAAGUUAAGGCAUUGAAAGAAUAAUAGCAAGCAUUAUCUUGCAAGUGCAAGUAAUGCACUGAAAGGUGCGUAUAUGAUACAGACCUACUUUUCAUUGAGUGCUUCAGGCUCUGAUACUUGGGUAUUGGAUAUUGCCUGUGGAUCGCAUAUUC
rnacentral:lncRNA from 1 species